UGCGUAACGCCGUGGGAAUCUGCCCUUGGGUUCGGAAUAACAGUUAGAAAUGACUGCUAAUACCGGAUGAUGUCUUCGGACCAAAGAUUUAUCGCCCAGGGAUGAGCCCGCGUAGGAUUAGGUAGUUGGUGGGGUAAUGGCCCACCAAGCCGACGAUCCUUAGCUGGUCUGAGAGGAUGAUCAGCCACACUGGGACUGAGACACGGCCCAGACUCCUACGGGAGGCAGCAGUGGGGAAUAUGGACAAUGGGCGCAAGCCUGAUCCAGCA
rnacentral:rRNA from 1 species